ensembl:lncRNA LINC01102 long intergenic non-protein coding RNA 1102
UUUUUUUUUUUUUUUUUUUUUUGCUGUCGUUUUAUACAGGUAUUUUUUUUUCUUUCUAUUUCUUUUUUCUUUUACUUUUUAUUUCCUCUUUAAAGAAAAUGAUUGGCAGCACUCAACCUCAAGGAACUGAUCUAUCAAAACCAAGCUGGGAUAAGUAUUUCUUUGAGAAAUAAUAUAUAUUUACCAACAGGCUCUAUUCUGCCCCCUUGUUUCACAGCACCUUGAAUAUCACUUCCUUUUCCUGCCCAAAGCAGGAGGUAACCCUGUAUUAAAAGCAUAGUAGGUGUGUGUGUGUACAAUACACACAUACAGCACACAUGUCUCUAUUUAGAGAUUCCAUGAUAUGUGUUCUAUAUACACUUUACAGUCCCUUUUCUUAAUGUCAAAAAUAUAAUUUCCAGCGUCUAAAGAGUGUUUUCAAAGACUUUUGCCCUAUUUUUUAAAAUAGUGUCUAAAUAUGAUUAAGUGUCUUCCCAGAGAAAAGUCAAAGAGGCUCCUAGUGUUAAUUUCCAUAUUGCUUAAGACUUAAGCUUUUAAUUUAUUUUAUCAAGGUUGAGGGAGUAUAGUAAUUGUUGGAACAACGCCCUUCCAAAAGAAAUCGCCUGCACUUGUUUUUAAGUUCAAUUUGUUUUCUCACACAGAUUUUUGAUACACUCUUAAAUAAACUAGAAAUCACAAUUAUUUUAAUGUGGCAGAGUUGUAACCAGGAAAUUGCAUAUAUUUUCAUAAACUAGGCUGUUAUAGAUUUAUUAAUAUUUAUUAAUAACAUUAUUUUAAGAAAUUUUUUUAACGUCUUUCAACCCUGAAAGGGCCUGCUUGAAACAUACACGGCAGCAAAAUCACUGGAGUCCAGGGUUUUUGUCACACACACACACAGCACAGAUUUUUUUGAUUAUGUAGAUUUCUUUUCCUACUGCAGUUUCAUAUGCAAAGCAUGCAUCAGCCACAUCCAUGCUAUCUCCUAAAGCAGUCAUUCUGAAACCCAAUCUGGGGACAGUGCAGACUAAAUAAAAUUUCAUUUUGAUUUGGCCUCCCGCUGCGAAUGGGACUGCUUUGUCUCAGCCGACAGAACCAGCAAGCCAGAAAGGGAAUGAAGACAUUUGGAGAAGAAGCGUUUACUGAAAGGAGAUUCCUGGGCUGGAGGAAAACCAUGAUCUACAGUUCAUGUUGACAGAUAUUGUAUUUUUGGUCCUAGAUCUGACUUUUGAAAUGACUUAUCACAAAUUCAAAUUUAGCAAUCAUGAGUGAAGUACCCACGAUGUGCUAAGCAUCUACCUCUGCAGAUAGAAGAACACUUACUGUUCCUGAGCAUGGGAGGGAAUAGAAGUUCCUGGGUCCUGGCCUCACCUCAUCAGGCACUGCCAAAUUUGACACCUCCUUCCUGUUCACGGCAGUCCUUUGCGAUAGGGUAUUAGAUGCCACCAAGUAGCUGCAUAACUCACCCAUUUGGUCAGAGCCUGGGUCUAAGCCAGGUCUGACAGACUCCAAAGCAAGCCCUGUUUACAGCAUGACUGGGAUCCAGUGGACGAGGGAACUGAGCUGUCAAAACUAAGUGACUUGAUUGAGGCCAUGCAGCUGGCGAGGGGAGGACCAGGAUCUGAACCCAACUGGGUCUCCCAAGCCUGGGCCACUGAACCAUUUCACCUCUUGGAAAAACUUAAUGGUCAGAGUGGCCCACCCAGUCCAUGGACAGCAUGGAGGAUAAACUGCUUCCCUAGAAAUCCUCUCCAGCAUUCUUGCCACCACGACUUUGGGACACAUUGACCAUGAGGAGGAGCUGGUCAAUGAUGGACAGGAGUCCAGAUUAGCAGAGAUGUGGUAAUAAGGACACCGAUGCCUAAAUACUUGAAAUAUCCAAUAGGAAGCAUUCCACCUUUGUGCAAAUGCGAACCACAUCUCACCAAGUUCAGGCCAAGGCUGCCACCGGUGACGUUUUGGAAAAGAAAAAAAAAAGCGGGGGGAGAGGAGAGAAACAGAGAAGCAAGGAAUGCAGAAGAGAGCAGAGGCCACAAAAACAGCAGCAACGUGUCCUGUGUAUUCUGUUUCCUUGUAAAACUAUGAAGCAUGUUAAGGAGAUACUUCAUUUUUUGAGGAUUCAUACUCUUGUUUAUAUUAUAAUAAAAACAACCCAUGUUCUUUCUAAAAAUUUAGGCAAUGCCUUCGUGCACAUAAAAGUAAAACAAAAUCACCUGUAAUCCUACCACACGCAGAUCAGCACUUGCUAAUCUUUUCACAGGGAUCCUAAGAAUAUCCUAUUCUCUAUAGAAUAUAGUUGAUUUAUGUUACCUAAUAACUAACUGUUAACCAUUUUAAAAUUCUUCAGUUUUACAUUAUGCUAGAAAAAAGGAGCCGUCACUCUACGUGACAUUUCUGUAUAUUGGUUUAUUCAUUCAAUAAACAUUUUUUAAGUACCUACUAUGUUCCAAGAA